GCCUCUACGCAGACUCAGUAGAGCAAAUUCAGUAGCGAGGCGACAUGGCGCCGGCGAUCACUUCGCGUUUGUACUCCCUGCUGUUCCGCAGGAAUGCAACCUUCGCCCUCACCAUAGUAGUGGGCGCCCUUUUCUUCGAGCGCGCCUUCGACCAGGGCGCAGACGCGAUCUACGAGAACCUCAACGAGGGGGUGAGGGCCUGGGCCGUCCUGACCUUGGGCCCGCCUGAGGGGUGACUGGGAGGGAGGGAAGGAGGACGAAACUCAGUUCGUCCCUUGUCUUGAGCCUGUACCUCCAGUUCGCAUGACCUGGUGUGAGUCCUGAAUCUCACAUGGACCCCCAUUGCAGGGGCUGGGAGUUUCGAAGCUGUGGAAGCACAUAAAGCACAAGUAUGAGAACAAGGAGUAACUCCUGACAGCCGGAAGGAACGGUUCCACCCAUCAACUGUUUGCCUGGAGCGGGGCCUCAGCCUGAGGAUGAGUUUGAAGUUACUCUUCAUGGACCAUCUGUGUAUUGGCAAGCAGUGCCACCACCCUGCAGACAGACUCCAGCUUCUGCUGUGUUGGAAGUGUAUUUGACGACAGUUAGCAGCAAAUAAAUGUAAAUUGUUCAUGAGA